rnacentral:tmRNA from 1 species
GGGGAUGACAGGCUUUGACGGUUUGCCCCGCACGAUCUGUGCAGUGUCGAAGUUGGAUGUAACUUCGUUAAAAUGCAUCUAUCCGUACGUGCUAAGAAAAGCGUACCAAGUCCUUAUGCUAACGCAUUCGGAUUCGCACCAGCAUUCGCGUAACCCAAGAAAUUAGGUUACCCCGCUCGUGUGGCAUCACCGUGUCGAAUGCCUAAUACGAUACGCGUGGUGAUAUAAACAUCAGGCUCUAGUCUCUUCCCUCGCCUCCGGUAGAGACCAAAUUCUUCGAGGCUCGACUGCUGAUGCUUUGGUUUUCCUUUUACAUCAUCAGUUCAAAUCAAAAGGUAAACUACACACUGUAGACCCAGACGUUCGGUCACUCUCGGACGGCGGUUCAAAUCCGCCCAUCUCCACAU